rnacentral:rRNA from 1 species
UUUAACUGAAGAGUUUGAUCAUGGCUCAGAUUGAACGCUGGCGGCAGGCUUAACACAUGCAAGUCGAGCGGGGGAAGGUAGCUUGCUACUGGACCUAGCGGCGGACGGGUGAGUAAUGCUUAGGAAUCUGCCUAUUAGUGGGGGACAACAUCUCGAAAGGGAUGCUAAUACCGCAUACGUCCUACGGGAGAAAGCAGGGGAUCUUCGGACCUUGCGCUAAUAGAUGAGCCUAAGUCGGAUUAGCUAGUUGGUGGGGUAAAGGCCUACCAAGGCGACGAUCUGUAGCGGGUCUGAGAGGAUGAUCCGCCACACUGGGACUGAGACACGGCCCAGACUCCUACGGGAGGCAGCAGUGGGGAAUAUUGGACAAUGGGGGGAACCCUGAUCCAGCCAUGCCGCGUGUGUGAAGAAGGCCUUAUGGUUGUAAAGCACUUUAAGCGAGGAGGAGGCUACUUUAGUUAAUACCUAGAGAUAGUGGACGUUACUCGCAGAAUAAGCACCGGCUAACUCUGUGCCAGCAGCCGCGGUAAUACAGAGGGUGCGAGCGUUAAUCGGAUUUACUGGGCGUAAAGCGUGCGUAGGCGGCUUAUUAAGUCGGAUGUGAAAUCCCCGAGCUUAACUUGGGAAUUGCAUUCGAUACUGGUGAGCUAGAGUAUGGGAGAGGAUGGUAGAAUUCCAGGUGUAGCGGUGAAAUGCGUAGAGAUCUGGAGGAAUACCGAUGGCGAAGGCAGCCAUCUGGCCUAAUACUGACGCUGAGGUACGAAAGCAUGGGGAGCAAACAGGAUUAGAUACCCUGGUAGUCCAUG